CAACCCUUAAGCCCUGUUGCUUAGCGUCGAGAGCCUGCGUUACAGCAGCUCUCUAGAUUCAGUGGCGGAGUCAGUUCAACUCUAAGCGUAGUAAUUCUCUCUCGCUUCUGUAGUGGUCCUGUCCCCUGCCGUAAAACCCCCUAUUUUACAAUGG
rnacentral:misc_RNA from 1 species